AUCCUUAUUUGAUUCAUAAGUGUGACUGGGUUUUCACACCACUGUGUGGGUUGUGAUUGUCUCAAACUUUGUUGUGAUUCCAGCACCCUAACUGUGAUG